GAUGAACGCUGGCGGCGUGCCUAAUACAUGCAAGUCGAACGCUUUGUGGUUCAACUGAUUUGAAGAGCUUGCUCAGAUAUGACGAUGGACAUUGCAAAGAGUGGCGAACGGGUGAGUAACACGUGGGAAACCUACCUCUUAGCAGGGGAUAACAUUUGGAAACAGAUGCUAAUACCGUAUAACAAUGACAACCGCAUGGUUGUUAUUUAAAAGAUGGUUCUGCUAUCACUAAGAGAUGGUCCCGCGGUGCAUUAGCUAGUUGGUAAGGUAAUGGCUUACCAAGGCGAUGAUGCAUAGCCGAGUUGAGAGACUGAUCGGCCACAAUGGGACUGAGACACGGCCCAUACUCCUACGGGAGGCAGCAGUAGGGAAUCUUCCACAAUGGGCGAAAGCCUGAUGGAGCAACGCCGCGUGUGUGAUGAAGGGUUUCGGCUCGUAAAACACUGUUGUAAGAGAAGAAUGACAUUGAGAGUAACUGUUCAAUGUGUGACGGUAUCUUACCAGAAAGGAACGGCUAAAUACGUGCCAGCAGCCGCGGUAAUACGUAUGUUCCAAGCGUUAUCCGGAUUUAUUGGGCGUAAAGCGAGCGCAGACGGUUAUUUAAGUCUGAAGUGAAAGCCCUCAGCUCAACUGAGGAAUUGCUUUGGAAACUGGAUGACUUGAGUGCAGUAGAGGAAAGUGGAACUCCAUGUGUAGCGGUGAAAUGCGUAGAUAUAUGGAAGAACACCAGUGGCGAAGGCGGCUUUCUGGACUGUAACUGACGUUGAGGCUCGAAAGUGUGGGUAGCAAACAGGAUUAGAUACCCUGGUAGUCCACACCGUAAACGAUGAGUGCUAGGUGUUUGAGGGUUUCCGCCCUUAAGUGCCGCAGCUAACGCAUUAAGCACUCCGCCUGGGG
rnacentral:rRNA from 1 species